UGAGGCGGGUAGCGGAGCCAUGGCUGGCUU
rnacentral:sRNA from 1 species